UACGGAGGGUGCAAGCGUUAUCCGGAUUCACUGGGUUUAAAGGGUGCGUAGGUGGGCAGGUAAGUCAGUGGUGAAAUCUCUGGGCUUAACCCGGAAACUGCCAUUGAUACUAUUUGUCUUGAAUAUUGUGGAGGUCAGCGGAAUAUGUCAUGUAGCGGUGAAAUGCUUAGAUAUGACAUAGAACACCAAUUGCGAAGGCAGCUGGCUACACAUAUAUUGACACUGAUGCACGAAAGCGUGGGGAUCAAACAGG
rnacentral:rRNA from 1 species